rnacentral:rRNA from 1 species
UACGUAGGGGGGCAAGCGUUGUCCGGAUUUAUUGGGCGUAAAGAGCGUGUAGGCGGCCAGGUAGGUCAGCUGUGAAAACUCGAGGCUCAACCUCGAGACGUCGGUUGAAACCACCUGGCUAGAGUCCGGAAGAGGAGAGUGGAAUUCCUGGUGUAGCGGUGAAAUGCGCAGAUAUCAGGAGGAACACCGAUGGCGAAGGCAGGUCUCUGGGCCACUACUGACGCUGAGAAGCGAAAGCAUGGGGAGCGAACAGG